AUUGAACGCUGGCGGCAUGCCUUACACAUGCAAGUCGAACGGCAGCACGGGAGCAAUCCUGGUGGCGAGUGGCGAACGGGUGAGUAAUAUAUCGGAACGUGCCCAGUGAUGGGGGAUAGCCCGGCGAAAGCCGGAUUAAUACCGCAUACGACCUACGGGUGAAAGCAGGGGAUCGCAAGACCUUGCGUCAUUGGAGCGGCCGAUAUCAGAUUAGCUUGNGGUGGGGUAAAAGCCUACCAAGGCGACGAUCUGUAGCUGGUCUGAGAGGACGACCAGCCACACUGGGACUGAGACACGGCCCCAGACUCCUACGGGAGGCAGCAGUGGGGAAUUUUGGACAAUGGGCGCAAGCCUGAUCCA
rnacentral:rRNA from 1 species